rnacentral:rRNA from 1 species
UAAAGCGCAUGCAGGUGGUUUGUUAAGUCAGAUGUGAAAGCCCGGGGCUCAACCUCGGAAUUGCAUUUGAAACUGGCAGACUAGAGUACUGKAGAGGGGGGUAGAAUUUCAGGUGUAGCGGUGAAAUGCGUAGAGAUCUGAAGGAAUACCGGUGGCGAAGGCGGCCCCCUGGACAGAUACUGACACUCAGAUGCGAAAGCGUGGGGGAGCAAACAGGAUUAGAUACCCUGGUAGUCCACGCCGUAAACGAUGUCUACUUGGAGGUUGUGGCCUUGAGCCGUGGCUUUCGGAGCUAACGCGUUAAGUAGACCGCCUGGGGAGUACGGUCGCAAGAUUAAAACUCAAAUGAAUUGACGGGGGCCCGCACAAGCGGUGGAGCAUGUGGUUUAAUUCGAUGCAACGCGAAGAACCUUACCUACUCUUGACAUCCAGAGAACUUUCCAGAGAUGGAUUGGUGCCUUCGGGAACUCUGAGACAGGUGCUGCAUGGCUGUCGUCAGCUCGUGUUGUGAAAUGUUGGGUUAAGUCCCGCAACGAGCGCAACCCUUAUCCUUGUUUGCCAGCGAGUAAUGUCGGGAACUCCAGGGAGACUGCCGGUGAUAAACCGGAGGAAGGUGGGGGACGACGUCAAGUCAUCAUGGCCCUUACGAGUAGGGCUACACACGUGCUACAAUGGCGCAUACAGAGGGCAGCCAACUUGCGAGAGUGAGCGAAUCCCAAAAAGUGCGUCGUAGUCCGGAUCGGAGUCUGCAACUCGACUCCGUGAAGUCGGAAUCGCUAGUAAUCGUGGAUCAGAAUGCCACGGUGAAUACGUUCCCGGGCCUUGUACACACCGCCCGUCACACCAUGGGAGUGGGCUGC